AUUACUCCCAAGAGAUAAUGCUUCCACGUUGAGCAGUCUGAAGUUACAAACUACAAAACUAGAGGGAUGGAACAGUCUUGAGUAUUGAACCUGAGACAUUGGACAUCAGGAGUUACGAAGACAUUUUGCAAGUUUCCACAAGAUUUGACUUUUCCUCACGUCGUAGUCUGCUUGUAAGAAUCGACACGUAAACACGAAACAUCUCAUUCUAAAAUGCUUAAUUAGUUAGUUCAUCAUUUGUAUUCCUGUUCGAAGCAAUGGCCUAUUGGUGCUUCCUAAAAUAUAAACUGUAUGAGACACGCUGUGUCCUCUUGCUUUGCACAUUUGCUCAUGAGAUUAGAAAAGGCGAUUCAGAAAGUAGGCUACAAUUAUAGCCGUUUUCAUUUCACAAUUGACAAACAAAUCUAGAAAUUAAGAUUCCCAUUUUAAUAAUCAUUGGUCUUGCUUUUGUCCCCUUAAUAAAUAUGUUCUUCGCUAUCGCCUUAUUUUAAACCAUACACUUCUGGGAGUUGAAGGCCUAUAGUUGUAUUGGAUUGCAUUUCAAUCAGCACUGAUUAGAACAAUCCCGCAUACGCACAUCCCCCAGAAACAUUCCGUCAAAGGAAUGGACAAACAUGGGCCUAUACACAGAGUAGGCUACUAACGCCAAUCCAAAACUAAUCAUAAUCAACACAAAAACAACAGCAAUAAUAAUAAUAGGCUACAUGGAAACAACGUUUUUAUCGAAAUAGGUUUCUCGUUUUAUUCUCCUCUUCAACAUUUGAGCUCUAUUCUGUCUAAUCAAGCGCUUUCACACUUGUUGGCAGCAACGACCGUGCAGCAUAUAACUGUCAAAAUAACAGCGCAUCUACUCUCCAAGCAGUGGAUGUUCCAGCGUACUCGCGCUAGUUUACUGAAGCCACAAGCUGUCUCGGCUCGGCUGUUUUGCGGUCCUAAUGUUUGAGUAGAAUAUGGGAGCAUGUCGGUGUCGGAUUGUUACAGAGCAUGGUGCACACGUUUAAUUAUAUAUGCGUUCUGAAAAUGCUAUUUUAAAGAAAGACCUCUAAGAAAAAAAAUGUAGGUAGUAGAUUUUUUUUACAUAGCUAUAACUAGUGCUGUACCCGGAAGCUUGGUUUUUUAUUUUGUCACAUGGCUAAGGGAUUUCAAUAACAACAAAAAAUGGCGACAAUCACGUUGUUCAAUGUGGUCUUGCUGCGUCAUUAAAAACAUUCAUGUAAACAGGGAGAAGAAACAGAAAAUCUGCGGGUCUGCUGACCUGUCAUGAAGAUGGAUGGUACGAGAAGCUGGUGUUGAGUUGCCAAAUUGCAGAGGAGCUGAAGCACUGCUUGAUGUGACAGGCUGCCCUGGUUCAGUUAUCACAGUGCUGAUGCUGUCCAUCUUAAAGGUACAGUACUGUGAUAACUGAAGGAUGGCAGCCAUCUUGACAGCACAGGUGCUUGUAUCCUAGACCUCUCUGGUAAAAUGUCAAAAUAUGGGAAAGGUUCUUUUUUUCAACUUCUACAGUGAUAGGUGUGUAAGGUCCCUACAGGCAUAUCUGCAAAAGCACAAAACCAUUCUGUCAUAACUGUCAAAUACAUUUAGUGUUUUGUUACUUAUGUUUUUUAUUACAUUUAUUUCAGUUUAAAAUAAACAAAGUUGCAAUGUAAUAUGUGCUCAAACUUGUCAUUGAAAUGUAUGGCCAGUACAUUUUAUUAUAUGACUGUGUGAUUCCACUGUUGUAAAAUGUCUGCCUAUUAAAAGCCGCUAUACUGAAAAAUAUCCUUCCUGUAUUCUCUCAUCAUGUGACAAUUAUAAAUGCAUAAAAAAGCAGAGGGCAGGUAAUUCUGUAUUUUUUAUGAAUAAAACUCAUUUCUUAUAAAAUACUUUUAUUAGACAAUGAAAUAUAAGACAAAAUAUUCUAGAGACUCCACCAGAGGGGAAAAAUAUUAUGUGGGACUUGGUUAAAAUAAAUGAAUGGGGUCCAUUUUAAUUGUGAUUCACUGCCAAAUCCUGAGACAGGCAUUUUAUUGCAGUUACCUGAGAACAGUUGUUUGCACAAGCAUUUUGAGUGUCUUGUCACUUAUGCUUCAGUCUUACUAUGUUGGUUACAUUGGGAUCCUCUUGUAUAAACCAAAUGAUGUGUAGAGCAUUCAAUUCUCUGGCUCAGAUUUGCAAAUUGCAAUGUUUUUCUGAUUUCCAACAGAGCUACCUCUUCAUUCCCAAUUAUUUUAGAAGAAAAACAGAAUAUUUAUCUACAGAAAAAAUAAAAUGAUAUUGUAUACUC